GACGAACGCUGGCGGCGUGCCUAAUACAUGCAAGUCGAACGCAGUGGGGACGGGUGAGUAACACGUGGGUAACCUCCCAUCAGAGGGGAUAACACUUGGAAACAGGUGCUAAAACGAUACUGAUGGAUGGACCCGCGGUGCAUUAGCUAGUGGGGGAGGUACCGGCUCACCAAGGCCACGAUGAAUAGCUGGCCGGUGAGGUUGAUGGGCCACAAUGGGCCUGAGCCACGGCCCAGACUCCUACGUGAGGCAGCAGUAGGGAAUCUUCGGCAAUGGACGAAAGUCUGGCCGAGCAACGCCGCGUGAGUGAAGAAGGUUUUCGGAUCGUAAAACUCUGUUGUUAGAGAAGCGGUAUCUAACCAAAAAGCCACGGCUAACUACGUGCCAGCCGCCGCGGUAAUAC
rnacentral:rRNA from 1 species